AGGACAAACGCUGGCGGCGUGCAUAACACAUGCAAGUCGAACGAGCCUAGCGAUAGGCGAGUGGCGGACGGGUGAGGAACACGUGGAUGACCGACCUUUUACUGGGGAAUACCCGUGGGAAACCACGGCUAAAUACCGCAUACGUUCGAGAGAAGAAAGCCUUCGGGCGGUAAGAGACGGGUCUGCGGUCGAUUAGCUAGUUGGUGCGGUAACGGCGUACCAAGGCGACGAUCGAUAGCUGGUCUGAGAGGAUGAUCAGCCACAUUGGGAUUGAGAACGGCCCAAAUCCCUACGGGGAGCAGCAGUGAGGAAUAUUCGGCAAUGGGCGCAAGCCUGACCGAGCGACGCCGCGUGGGGGAUGACGCAUUUCGGUGUGUAAACCCCUUUUCUGUGGGACGAGAAUGGACGGUACACAGGAAUAAGUCUCGGCUAACUACGUGCCAGCAGCCGC
rnacentral:rRNA from 1 species